UCAUCAUUUUAUCGAACAGGUACCGAUUCCGUUCGUAAAGACGGUCUCGGUUUAAAAGGGAAGCCGGUGCAAGUCCGGCACGGUCCCGCCACUGUAAGCGAGAAGCUUUUCUGCUUGAAUGACGCCACUGUCGAAUGAUGGGAAGGCUGCGGAAAAGCGUUGAGACGCAAGUCAGGAGACCUGCCUGUUCUGUUGAGGCCGU
rnacentral:ncRNA from 1 species